CACAUUUGUAUCUGGUAGUAACUCCUCUGUCACACACAGUCAACCACCCACGCCGCCAUCAUAGGCUCGCUGCUGCCGCGCCGUCCUGUGACUCACGUUUGUAUCUAGUAAUGAGUGGCUCUGCCUACAAGGAGAAGAAACGGCAAGCUUUGCCUGCAAGGAGAACAAAAACAACAGUUUCAAAGGUGAAGAUAGUGUAAAGUGGAGCUUUAUUAACUCACUGAAAGAGAUAUGUCAUCAGGGGUGUUGACCCUCCCUGACCCCUGUCACAUGACUCUAGUGGAAAAGGGACAAUUGGAAAGAAGAAACGAUAUAUGGUUAGACUACUACCACCUAGAGAUAGUCUGCCAUCAUCUACCAUAUCCCCAUCUACUAUAUCUAUGCUAAUCAGAUCUUUGGAUGUUGCACCUACACCAUCUUCACCUUCAACUGAAGUUAGACCAUAUUCAUCUCUGAUUGGUGCAUGUGGAUCGUCCCUGGUACCUACAUCAACACCAUCCUCAUCCCUAAUUGAUGCACGUGGACCGUCUCCAGUACCUACAUGCACACCAUACCCAUCCCCGGUUGUAGCAAACAAGCCUAUUGAUGAAGAAGUUCCGAAUUUGGCCAUGGAAGACCCUCCCUCCCCCCUCAAUGAUUGUCUUAUGGUUACACUUAUCAAUGAAACAUAAGUAUUACAAAAUUUAAAUAAUUAUCAUUAUAUAUGAUACAUCAUUUGAUCUUUUACUUUUUCAUGAAUUAUUUUUUCUAUUUAGGUUUCAUCCAUUUAAGGUUGCGGCAAAGGCUAUCACAUUGUCCAUUAGGCAACAAUUUGCUAACCCAUGGCCUACACUAUGAGCAAUUCUAAAAGAUCAUCAUGAACUUUUUUUCUAGUAUUUUAAGGAAGAAUUUUAGGUUAGACUAUCUCAAGCUAGGUCUGAUUUUGCAUCAAGUGUUGGUGAAUCACAAAUCACUCCUUUACACCCUACUGAAGAACAAAGACUUAAGACUCGGUGUUGGGUUACAGUUGCGGGACCAAAGCAUACAAGAUGCCUUUACGGUACUGGAGAUGUUGCUCGUAGUUAAAAAUGUGGAGAUAACAACUUCAUGCAACAUACACAAAGGUCUUCUAGUCACGCUCAAGAUUCAACGAAGAUUAACCGACUAAGGGAGGAGCUUCGUCAAUCAAAGGAGGAGAUCCAUGUAUUUCAGUUAGUUGUCCUUCAGUUCCUACCUCCUGAAGCGCAAAACAUUAUUCAUCAACAUCAACAACAUCACCAGUAGUAUCAGGACCAACAACAACAAUAAGACAAUGACCAACCAGAUGACUAGCAACAACAACAGAAUGACCAACAACCAGAUGACCGGCAGAGACACUCUCCCAUUGAAUAUUUUGAUUACUGACUUAGCAACAUAAAAUUAUUA